AAGGGUAUAGCUCAGUGGUAGAGCACAUGCCUAGCAUGCAGGAGGUCCAGGGUUCAAUCCCCAGUGCCUCCA
rnacentral:tRNA from 1 species